rnacentral:rRNA from 1 species
AUUGAACGCUGGCGGCAUGCCUUACACAUGCAAGUCGAACGGCAGCGGACCUUCGGGUGCCGGCGAGUGGCGAACGGGUGAGUAAUGCAUCGGAACGUACCUUUCAGUGGGGGAUAACGUAGCGAAAGUUACGCUAAUACCGCAUAUUCUGUGAGAAAGAAAGCAGGGGAUCGCAAGACCUUGCGCUGAUUGAGCGGCCGAUGUCAGAUUAGCUAGUUGGUGAGGUAAAGGCUCACCAAGGCGACGAUCUGUAGCGGGUCUGAGAGGAUGAUCCGCCACACUGUAACUGAGACACGGUCCAGACUCCUACGGGAGGCAGCAGUGGGGAAUUUUGGACAAUGGGGGCAACCCUGAUCCAGCCAUGCCGCGUGAGUGAAGAAGGCCUUCGGGUUGUAAAGCUCUUUCGGCCGGGAAGAAAUCGCACGGGCUAAUACCCUGUGUGGAUGACGGUACCGGAAUAAGAAGCACCGGCUAACUACGUGCCAGCAGCCGCCGUAAAAC